rnacentral:rRNA from 1 species
AAUGAGGAUAAUUUACAAACCUUACCGAAGCAAUUGGAGGGCAAGUCUGGUGCCAGCAGCCGCGGUAAUUCCAGCUCCAAAAGCGUAUAUUAAAGUUGUUGCAGUUAAAAAGCUCGUAGUUGAAGUUCUGGCUGUAUUGGGCCUCUGCACUCGAUGCGGAGGAACCAGCAGUCAUCCGCUUGCAAAUACAUGUCCUUCCUUAACCGGUAGGCUGUAUAAGUAAGCACUUUACCUUGAGAAAAACAGAGUGUUCCAGGCAGGUUUGUCCGGAAUGCGUUAGCAUGGAAUAAUAGAAUAUGACUGAAGUCGAUUUAUUGGUUAAAGGCUUUAGUAAUGAUUAAUAGGAACAAUCGGGGGCAUUGGUACUUGUCAGUCAGAGGUGAAAUUCUAGGAUUUGACAAAGACUAACUGAUGCGAAAGCGUUUGCCAAGAAUGUUUUCAUUAAUCAAAGAACGAAAGUUAGGGGAUCAAAGACGAUCAGAUACCGUCCUAGUCUU